rnacentral:rRNA from 1 species
AUGUUCUUUAAACCUAAAGAAAUUGGCGGUGUCUUAUUCUAUUUAGAGGAACUUGCCCCUUAAUCGAUAGUCCUCGUUUUAUCUUUCUUUUUUUUGUAAUCAGUAUGUAUACCGCCGUUAUAAGUUUAUGUUAUAAGAUUAAUAAUUGACUUAUUAUUUUAAAUUAUUUUAUUUCAGGUCAAGGUGCAGUUUAUAAAAAAGUGGAGGUGGGUUACAUUAUUUAUAUUUUUGGAUUCGUUCAUUAAAUUUGUUCGAUGAAAUUGGAUUUAAUAGUAAUUUUAUUUAUAGGGAUAAUUUGAUAUAUAAGCUCUGAGAUGAGUACACAUCGCCCGUCGCUCUA